UGCUGAUUCCAUAGUGCCCUGCUGUGAAAUCCAGCAAUACUAUUAUUCUUUGUUCAGAGUGGUUUCAGUCUGUUUUGUAUUGUUCAAUUUCAACAUACAUGACGGUAUGGACAGCUAUUUUGAAGAGAAUGAGAGACAGUAUGGCAGCCAUUGUUGAUUUCCCUAUUAUCUGGUUUUGAAGGCCUAAAAUGCCUUCAUCAUCCUGUUCUGAUCAGUUUAAUACUAUUUUGUUUUGUAUGAGUUCAUUGUGUGUGAAGAUAUGGACAACUAUUCAGAAGAAAACAAGAGACAGUAAGAUAGACAUUGAUGAUUUCCUGUUGUCUUGCUUUAAAAUCUGUGUGUCUUACAUUGUGUUCUUCUGAUCUGCUUUGUUCUGUUUUGUUCUGUUCAAUUUUAUCUUUUUUGAAAUAAAAUUUAAAAAAUGUAAAAUCUAUUUUAAAAAAUAAAAUUUCUGGGUUGUAUAUUUUAUCACUACUACCACAACAAAAAAAUAACAGGGCUAGAGAAUGAUGUGCCAUGUGACUGCUAAUGUGAAGUAAACUAGAACAACUGCAUUUUAAUUUCAGAUAAAAUUAACUUCAGAAAAAGGAAAAUUAAAACUGACAAAGGGGACAUUAAGUGAAAUUAAAGUACUAGUUUGAUUACGUGUUUGAGAUAUGCAGUAACACAAAUUAAGAAACCUCACAGUUAAAGAACUUCUGCCUUAUUAUUCACAGCGGUAGAUAAUAUACCAAAAACGUCACUGUAUCCAGUGAAAUUGCAUGUAGUAGUUAACAGUUGCAGCUUCAUGUUUUUGAACUUUUAUUCCUAAAUAUUUCACCUUGUUUUUCAUUUUAUUGUAGGAUCUCACAGAUGUGUUACAAGAUCCAGAAAUAGUACUUAGAGGAUACUGGCAGCCUCAGUAGGCCACAGUGAUAAAAACAAGAUUCAGGCUCUCUGCAAUUAUGAUGAAAGAUACAUUGCUCUUCUUUUUCGACAUACUUUUAUAAGCUUCCUGCAUUUGUGUUGGCUGCUGUGAAAGGAAGUAUUUUUGCCCCUCACAGAGUUCAUAUGAUUAAAAAUCUGUAAUACAUCUUUCUUAGUAAUAAUAUUACUAAAAUAUGAAUGUGGCAAGAGGGGCACAUGUAAUCAUCAUCAGAACAUUAUCCUAAAAAUACUUAAUCUGGAAUUUAGCUAGAAUACAGUAGGUUUGCAUUUCAUGUUGUAUUAUUUGAUUGGCAUUUGAAUGUAUGUAAUGUUCUUUCUGUUUUCUCUAGGGAUAAGUAGUUUUAAAGAUCAUUGCAUUUUUUUCCCAGAAAAGUAUCCAAAUUCAUAUGUGGCUUAACACAUCUGAACCUUACACUGUUCAAGGGAAGUGAACAUGUGUUCUAUGAGUAAUCCCCUAGUCUAUCUACUCAUACUAGAUUUGAGGACACAGACAGCUAUCCCAAAACAAUAGGAUAUACUACGGAAGAAAAUGGAGAAGGAACAACAAAAUAGUCAAAUUUAAAUAGAAUAUAAACUUAAACUUCAAAAUCAACUACUUUCAAGAGGAAUCAUUUGUAGUCUAUAAUAGGAUCAAUAGUUUGCAUAAUUUUUUAUAAUAUGUUAACUGUUAUUAAGAAAUAAUCUUGCUUCACAGGAGAUUUUAGGAGCUUAUGAUUGUUAAAAAAAGGUGAAGCUGCUCACAUUUUUAUAUUAGUUAUCUUAAAUAGUUUAAAUUGGUAUUGUUUUAAAUAUUAGGCCAUUUUGAUAUAUUUAUAUAUUUGUAACUCUUUGCUAAGAUGGGUUUUAAGAUAUGUUCAGAUUGUAAAGGUCUUUGACAUUAUAAAUUAUAUAAGUAAUCAUUAUUUGAACCUGACUUGAUUUUUCUUGGUGAUUGUGACUAGAUAUGCUAAGCGCUAUGUCAUUUUAUUUCCUGUAAAGAUAUACUGGUGGUAUAAAUAUCUGAGGUCAUGUGUAUUUUUAAAUCACCAUUAAAAAUCUUGAUUACUCAGAAGUUUAAAACGAAAAAACAGUUUAUCACCCCGUUUUUUU